rnacentral:rRNA from 1 species
UGGGGAAUUUUGGACAAUGGGCGAAAGCCUGAUCCAGCAAUGCCGCGUGUGUGAAGAAGGCCUUCGGGUUGUAAAGCACUUUUGUCCGGAAAGAAAUGGCUCUGGUUAAUACCUGGGGUCGAUGACGGUACCGGAAGAAUAAGGACCGGCUAACUACGUGCCAGCAGCCGCGGUAAUACGUAGGGUCCAAGCGUUAAUCGGAAUUACUGGGCGUAAAGCGUGCGCAGGCGGUUGUGCAAGACCGAUGUGAAAUCCCCGAGCUUAACUUGGGAAUUGCAUUGGUGACUGCACGGCUAGAGUGUGUCAGAGGGGGGUAGAAUUCCACGUGUAGCAGUGAAUGCGUAGAGAUGUGGAGGAAUACCGAUGGCGAAGGCAGCCCCCUGGGAUAACACUGACGCUCAUGGCACGAAAGCGUGGGGAGCAAACAGGAUUAGAUACCCUGGUAGUCCACGCCCUAAACGAUGUCAACUAGUUG